GAUGAACGCUGGCGGCGUGCCUAAUACAUGCGAGUCGAGCGAACAGACGAGGAGUUUGCUCCUCUGACGUUAGCGGCGGACGGGUGAGUAACACGUGGAUAACCUACCUAUAAGACUGGGAUAACUUCGGGAAACCGGAGCUAAUACCGGAUAAUAUAUUGAACCGCAUGGUUCAAUAGUGAAAGACGGUUUUGCUGUCACUUAUAGAUGGAUCCGCGCCGCAUUAGCUAGUUGGUAAGGUAACGGUCUACCAAGGCAACGAUGCGUAGCCGACCUGAGAGGGUGAUCGGCCACACUGGAACUGGGACACGGUCCAGACUCCUACGGGAGGGAGCAGUAGGGAAUCUGCCGCAAUGGGCGAAAGCCUGACGGAGCACCGCCGCGUGAGUGAUGAAGGUCUUCGGAUCGUAAAACUCUGUUAUUAGGGAAGAACAAAUGUGUAAGUAACUAUGCACGUCUUGACGGUACCUAAUCAGAAAGCCACGGCUAACUACGUG
rnacentral:rRNA from 1 species